CUUAUCAAGAGUGGCGGAGGGACCGGCCCUGUGAAGCCCGGCAACCUGCGGAGACGCAAGGUGCCAAUUCCGGCGAGAAAAUCGGCAGAUGAG
rnacentral:ncRNA from 1 species